rnacentral:rRNA from 1 species
GUCCACGCCGUAAACGUUGGGCGCUAGAUGUGGGGACCUUUCCACGGUUUCCGUGUCGUAGCUAACGCAUUAAGCGCCCCGCCUGGGGAGUACGGCCGCAAGGCUAAAACUCAAAGGAAUUGACGGGGGCCCGCACAAGCGGCGGAGCAUGCGGAUUAAUUCGAUGCAACGCGAAGAACCUUACCAAGGCUUGACAUAACCGAGAACGCCCUAGAAAUAGGGAACUCUUUGGACACUCGGUUACAGGUGGUGCAUGGUUGUCGU